GCUUGCGCGGAUGCACGAGUGCGCGCACCGGGACCACUGUUCGCUUGUAGUACCCUACUUUCCUUCUCUUUCGCAUUCUCGGGCGAAAAGUAAGGAUUUAAAUCUUUAGGUUCUUCACUUUUCAUUGCAAACGAACUUAUAGAACCUUGCAAACGAACUUUUUAACUACAAACUAUAGACACAUAAACAUUUUCUGUUUAUUGUUUUUCACUCGCCUCAAAAACAAGGGAAGUCACUCGGUUUGCGUGGCAGCAGUUACUUCCCCUACAAUCAUGGCCACGAUACAAACAGCGAAAGCUGUGAUGAGAAAGAAAUGCAGACACACUCUGUCUUUAAUACCAGACGAAGACAAAAUCAAACAAUCAGAGAUCAUUUCGAGAAAGUUGAUGAAUCUACCAGAAUUUGAAGCCAGUAAACGAAUCUCAAUCUACCUGAGUACUUCUGAUGAGGUGCGGACAGAAUCAAUUAUGAAGAAAAUACUGGCUUCCAAUAAGACUUGUUUCAUUCCACAUUAUAGUGGCACAAGCAUGAAAAUGGUAGCACUAAAGUCUCUAGAAGAUUAUGAAAAUCUUCCAUUGACUAAUUGGAAUAUAAAGCAACCUAGUGAUGAUGAUGUUCGCACUGAUGCUCUAGAAACUGGUGGCUUAGACCUAAUUGUGAUGCCUGGGCUUGCAUUCUCCUUGGCUGGAGCUCGUCUUGGGCGAGGCAAAGGCUACUAUGAUGCCUACCUGAAAAAAUGCUAUGAAUAUGGUAACAAACCUAUUACAAUUGCUUUGUGUUUCCAUCAAAUGUUAUUUGAUAACAUCCCUGUUAUACCAGGUUCCGAUAUGUUUGUCAACAAGGUUAUUUACCCAGAUGAAGCAGAUCUCAUGGAGAGCAGAACUAGAUGAAAGCUUUGGCCCUUGUCCAUUCCACCUAGGUUUCACCUGUGAUUGAUAUGUGUGUAUGUAUGUGUGCGUGUGUGUGCGGACGUUAAACGAU
rnacentral:misc_RNA from 1 species